GAUGAAGAACGUAGCGAAAUGCGAUAAGUAAUGUGAAUUACAGAAUUCAGUGAAUCAUCGAAUCUUUGAACGCACAUUGCGCCCUCUGGUAUUCCGGGGGGCAUGCCUGUUCGAGCGUCAUUAUAACCACUCAAGCUCUCGCUUGGUAUUGGGGUUCGCGGUUCCGCGGCCCCUAAAAUCAGUGGCGGUGCCUGUCGGCUCUACGCGUAGUAAUACUCCUCGCGAUUGAGUCCGGUAGGUCUACUUGCCAGCAACCCCCAAUUUUUACAGGUUGACCUCGGAUCAGGUAGGGAUACCCGCUGAACUUAAGCAUAUCAAUAAGCGGAGGA
rnacentral:misc_RNA from 1 species